CACGUAGGGUGCGAGCGUUGUCCGGAAUUAUUGGGCGUAAAGAGCUCGUAGGCGGUGUGUCGCGUCGGCCGUGAAAACCUGCAGCUUAACUGUGGGCUUGCGGUCGAUACGGGCAUCACUGGAGUUCGGCAGGGGAGACUGGAAUUCCUGGUGUAGCGGUGAAAUGCGUAGAUAUCGAGAGGAACACCUGCGGCGAAGGCGGGUUGCUGGGCUGAUACUGACGCUGAGGCGCGAAAGCCAGGGGAGCGAACGGG
rnacentral:rRNA from 1 species